rnacentral:rRNA from 1 species
AAGCCCCAGUAAACGGCGGCCGUAACUAUAACGGUCCUAAGGUAGCGAAAUUCCUUGUCGGGUAAGUUCCGACCCGCACGAAAGGCGUAACGAUUUGGGCACUGUCUCAACAACAGACUCGGUGAAAUUGUAAUUCCGGUGAAGAUGCCGGAUACCUGCGACAGGACGGAAAGACCCCAUGGAGCUUUACUGUAGCUUGACAUUGGGUCUUGGUACUACAUGUACAGGAUAGGU